rnacentral:rRNA from 1 species
AUUGAACGCUGGCGGCAGGCCUAACACAUGAAAGUCGAACGAGUGGCGGACGGGUGAGAAAUGUCAGGGAAACUGCCUGAUGGAGGGGGAUAAAUACUGGAAACGGUAGCUAAUACAGCACACCAACGGAUGUGACCAGAGGGGAGUAGCUCGCAGGUGGGGUAACGGCUCACCUAGGCGACGAUCCCUAGCUGGUCUGAGAGGAUGACCAGCCACACGGGAACUGAGACACGUUCCAGACUCCUACGGGAGGCCGCAGUGGGGAAUAUUGAGCAAUGGGCGAAAGCCUGAUGCAGCCAUGCCGCGUGUGUGAAGAAGGCCUUCGGGUUGUAAAGUACUUUCAGCGGGGAGGCGUUACUCGCAGAAGAAGCACCGGCUAACUCCGUGCCAGCAGCCGCGGUAAUAC